CGUACGUUUGUCGUACUUUCGACCAAUCGAUAUCGAAACGGUAAAAUCAAAACCGUGCGACAACUCGUGCGACGUGCGACAUUUUUCAAACAGGGUACUUAUGUAGCGACUUUGUGUCAGAAGAAUGCCAAACAACUUGGGUUUAAUGUUUCACCCCUUUUAAAAGGGCACUGAAGAAAUCAGUUUUUGAUGAGGUUCGGAAGAUUUAGUGUUUUUAUUCAUAAUAAUAUAAUAAAAUACGUACAACUUGCCAUGAAUUUGCUUAGAGAUAAAUAAAUACAUGAAUUGUCUUCCACCCGCUUAUUUCGGCGGGAGAAUUCGGCCCACCAGCAGGACAGUUUCCAAUUUCCAAUCGUUGGUGCGAUCUAUACGAGAAAGUGAGAAGGUUGUUGUUUUCUCGCACUCUCUCUUUCUCUCUCCUCUCAGAAUGAGAACAAUGUUGCCAGUUUGAUGGAAGUCAGCUUUGGACAGUGCAGUUGAAUAAGUGCUGAAUCGCAUUUGUAAAUGCUGUUGGGUGGCUAAUUAGCAAUGAAAUGCUAAUCUGUUGCCGAUUUAUGACUUUUUGCUAGUGCUGGAUGGUUACUUGGGUAAUCGGCAAGCCGAACAUUAUCUUUUUUUCAGGCAACAAGCAUCUUCCAAUCUGAUCUUGCCGGAAACCAUGCGCUUGCGUGUGGCCCGCGUGGCAUCCGUAGAACCCCCAAAAGCAGUUACGGCUACGGAAACACCCGCUCCACAAACCCACGUUGUCUCAUACUCCGGUGGCCAUAAAUCCGUCGGAUAUUGAAGAUUGGCGUCGCAUCCGGUUACAAUUUUUAUCAGCCUUGUAGAGGAGAAAAAGUCCAACACGACCAAGAUGCUGCCGGGCUGCCACAGAACACCAACAUCCAAGCCGGAAGCCUCGGACAAGGCAAAUCCCAUGUGAUAGUAUCCGAAAGAACCCAAGUCUGAUAAGAAUCGGUGAUUCGGAAUUAGUUAAAAAGUGAAGUGAAAAGUGAAAUUAUGCUUGCUUGAAUAAAAAAAAAUAAUAAAAACAAAACAAUAAUUUUUUUUUCGAGUGCAAUAACAAAAAAUCCGAAAUGACUGCACACGAUAAUAGCACGGCAUCCCUGUUUGAAAAAUGUCGCACGUCGUGCGAGCUGUCGCGCGGUUUUGAUUUUACCGUUUCGAUAUCGAUUGGUCGAAAGGACGACAAACGGACGACAAACACUCGACAUGCCCGACAUUGUUUUUUCCAUCGAUUUUCCUUCAAUUUGACGUCACGAUUUUCGUCGACGCAGUAUGACAGUUCUCUUCAGUUGGUCUUGUUUGGACUUGAUCAAAUCAGAGAAACUUUGAGCCGAAUCGAACCAGUUUACGUUGUUGAAAAGUUCGUGUGGAUUUUUGCCGGUUGAUUGAUUUCCUGAUUUCGGCCUUCGUGGUGGAGGAGGAGGAGAACGGGUCACAUCGUUGCUCCGGCGGGCCAUGCCGAAAGACGGAAAGGGAAGCACCCGGUCUGUGAUCGAGGAAGCAGAUUGGUGUUUAACUUUUCGCGGGAGGUGGCGGUG